GUGGGGAAUCUUGCGCAAUGGGCGAAAGCCUGACGCAGCCAUGCCGCGUGAAUGAUGAAGGUCUUAGGAUUGUAAAAUUCUUUCACCGGGGACGAUAAUUACGGUACCCGGAGAAGAAGCCCCGGCUAACUUCGUGCCAGCAGCCGCGGUAAUACGAAGGGGGCUAGCGUUGCUCGGAAUUACUGGGCGUAAAGGGCGCGUAGGCGGAUCGUUAAGUCAGGGGUGAAAUCCCAGAGCUCAACUCUGGAACUGCCCUUGAUACUGGCGAUCUUGAGUGUGAGAGAGGUAUGUGGAACUCCGAGUGUAGAGGUGAAAUUCGUAGAUAUUCGGAAGAACACCAGUGGCGAAGGCGACAUACUGGCUCAUUACUGACGCUGAGGCGCGAAAGCGUGGGGAGCAAACAGGAUUAGAUACCCCGGUAGUCC
rnacentral:rRNA from 1 species